AGUUUGAUCCUGGCUCAGGAUGAACGCUAGCUACAGGCUUAACACAUGCAAGUCGAGGGGCAUCAUGAGAGUAGCUUGCUACUUUUGAUGGCGACCGGCGAAUGGGUGAGUAACGCGUAUCCAACCUGCCGCACACCCGGGAAUAGCCCUUGGAAAUGAGGAUUAAGUCCCGAUAUGCACUUAUGCCGCAUGGUGUAUGUGUGAAACGAGGUGUGCGAUGGGGAUGCGUCCGAUUAGCUUGCCGGCGGGGUAACGGCCCACCGGGGCACCGAUCGGUAGGGGUUCUGAGAGGAAGGUCCCCCACACUGGUACUGAGACACGGACCAGACUCCUACGGGAGGCAGCAGUGAGGAAUAUUGGUCAAUGGGCGAGAGCCUGAACCAGCCAAGUAGCGUGGAGGAUGACGGCCCUACGGGUUGUAAACUCCUUUUAUGCGGGGAUAAAGUCCACUACGCGUAGUGGUUUGCAGGUACCGCAUGAAUAAGGAACGGCUAAUUCCGUGCC
rnacentral:rRNA from 1 species